AGAUAAAUAGACUUCCUGAGACAUGGUUUUGUGGUCCACUUCAAAAAGGAAAAUCCAAGAAUCCCACAACUGAAUCUACAGGUAUUACAAUAAAGGAAGUGGAAGUACUGUAACCUGACUUGCUUAAACCUCCACCAUGCUACUCUGAAUGACAGUUUACAACUUACAAUUAGGGUGUGGCUAAUGAAGUCACUGAAGCAGACAUAAGCAUAGGUUUUCCCUUAUACACACUCUUGGCUAGUCAGUCACACCUUCUCAAUGCUUUGUUGCACAGGAACUCAAGAAUUUAAACCAUCAUCCACUGCCUAGGAAGGGUC